rnacentral:rRNA from 1 species
AUUGAACGCUGGCGGCAUGCCUUACACAUGCAAGUCGAACGGCAGCACGGGAGCAAUCCUGGUGGCGAGUGGCGAACGGGUGAGUAAUAUAUCGGAACGUGCCCAGUCGUGGGGGAUAACGUAGCGAAAGCUACGCUAAUACCGCAUACGAUCUAUGGAUGAAAGCGGGGGAUCGCAAGACCUCGCGCGAUUGGAGCGGCCGAUAUCAGAUUAGCUAGUUGGUGAGGUAAAGGCUCACCAAGGCGACGAUCUGUAGCUGGUCUGAGAGGACGACCAGCCACACUGGAACUGAGACACGGUCCAGACUCCUACGGGAGGCAGCAGUGGGGAAUUUUGGACAAUGGGCGCAAGCCUGAUCCAGCAAUGCCGCGUGCAGGAUGAAGGCCUUCGGGUUGUAAACUGCUUUUGUACGGAACGAAACGGCUCCUUCUAAUACAAGGGGCUAAUGACGGUACCGUAAGAAUAAGCACCGGCUAACUACGUGCCAGCCGCCGCAGUAAAAC